rnacentral:tRNA from 1 species
AGCAAAAUGGCCGACGAUAGGUUUUAAACUGUAAAUUUAAAUAUGAGGAUUACUCUUUUGYUA